UGGGGAAUAUUGGACAAUGGGCGAAAGCCUGAUCCAGCCAUGCCGCGUGUGUGAAGAAGGUCUUCGGAUUGUAAAGCACUUUAAGUUGGGAGGAAGGGAAGUAAGUUAAUACCUUGCUGUUUUGACGUUACCGACAGAAUAAGCACCGGCUAACUCUGUGCAAGCAGCCGCGGUAAUACAGAGGGUGCAAGCGUUAAUCGGAAUUACUGGGCGUAAAGCGCGCGUAGGUGGUUUGUUAAGUUGGAUGUGAAAGCCCCGGGCUCAACCUGGGAACUGCAUCCAAAACUGGCAAGCUAGAGUACGGUAGAGGGUGGUGGAAUUUCCUGUGUAGCGGUGAAAUGCGUAGAUAUAGGAAGGAACACCAGUGGCGAAGGCGACCACCUGGACUGAUACUGACACUGAGGUGCGAAAGCGUGGGGAGCAAACA
rnacentral:rRNA from 1 species